rnacentral:rRNA from 1 species
AUUGAACGCUGGCGGCAGGCCUAACACAUGCAAGUCGAACGAGUGGCGGACGGGUGAGUAAUGUCUGGGAAACUGCCCGAUGGAGGGGGAUAACUACUGGAACCGGUAGCUAAUACCGCAUACCAUCGGCUUUGCCCAGCUGGGAUUAGCUAGUAGGUGGGGUAACGGCUCACCUAGUCGACGAUCCCGAGCGGGUCUGAGAGGAUGACCAGCAACACUGGAACUGAGACACGGUCCAGACUCCUACGGGAGGCAGCAGUGGGGAAGAUUGCACAAUGGGCGCAAGCCUGAUGCAGCCAUGCCGCGUGUAUGAAGAAGGCCUUCGGGUUGUAAAGUACUUUCAGCGGGGAGGCGUUACCCGCAGAAGAAGCACCGGCUAACUCCGUGCCAGCAGCCGCGGUAAUAC